rfam:Canis lupus familiaris chromosome 5, whole genome shotgun sequence.
ACCUGACUGGCUCAGCAGGUAGAGCGUGGGACUCUUAAUAUCAGGGUCAUGAGUUCAAGCCUUAUGUUGGGCA